rnacentral:rRNA from 1 species
UACGAAGGGGGCUAGCGUUGUUCGGAAUCACUGGGCGUAAAGGGCGCGUAGGCGGCUUUUCAAGUCGGGGGUGGAAGCCUGUGGCUCAACCACAGAAUUGCCUUCGAUACUGUUAGGCUUGAGACCGGAAGAGGUGAGUGGAACUGCGAGUGUAGAGGUGAAAUUCGUAGAUAUUCGCAAGAACACCAGUGGCGAAGGCGGCUCACUGGUCCGGUUCUGACGCUGAGGCGCGAAAGCGUGGGGAGCAAACAGG